CCUCCCUUGCGUGUGUUUUGGGAGAGAUGGUUUUAUGUUACCCGCACACAUCCAAACCCCCUUGUGCACUCCAUCAAGGUUCUGCUCUUAACUAAGCCUUCCAGUCAUUAUUAUUUGCUUCUUGUUCUGAAAUAAUUAUUUUUUAUCACUAAGGGUGGUUGCCGUACUGUAAGCUAUCAUGUGAAAAAUUCCAUGACACGAGGAAGGCCGUGGGAAAAAAAAAAAGGCAACAUGACAAAGCAUUUGUCUACAUGUUGAACCUGUUAGUGGUGCAAAACUUGAGUGGGCGUUGACUGACGGUUAACUACAAAAGUUACGUCCUCGCCGAUUCAACUUUGCGGCCUGGGAACUUUCUGUUUGACAUUGUUUACAGUAAGUAUAAGGGUAGGAUAGAUUUGCGCUCCACCACAGAAUCUGAUCCAGCCCGCCGUGCAAUUCUGAAAAUAAAUAAAAUCUCAGAGGAACUAUUACGAGAAAACCUCAACCAUCCAUUUUCUACGGUAUAUCGCUUGUCCACAUUAAGAUUGCGGGUGAGGCGGGUGACACCCUGCAUUGGUUGCCCACCAGUCGCAGGACAAAUAUAAACCAACCGCCCAUUCACACCUGAGGACAAUUUUGAGUCGACUCUAACAUGCAUGUUUGUGCAAUGCGGGAGGAAGCCACAGUACAACCACGGAGGGCUUAAAAAAAAAAGCAUUCAAGGGACAGUGCAAGACAUUUGAAAGCUUCUUUGACCAGCAGCUGAACCUUCAACCUGCACCUUCUGCAUCUCUCUGCGCUUCAGGAUGUUUUUGUUGAGCUUAGCUCCCAUUGUUCACGCAGCAACUUGGCUGGCCUCCCACGGCUGCUGCUUGCCGCUGCUGGCUGCUGGUUCCUAUCGCCCCCCCACCCCUCGUAAUGGCUUCUUCAUGUGCCUCCUGCGUGAGCCAGACAGACAACGCAAAGCAUCAUGGGAGAGAAGAACCAGCUGAAAGUAAAUAAACAGAUCGACAG